rnacentral:rRNA from 1 species
UACGUAUGGUGCGAGCGUUGUCCGGAAUUACUGGGCGUAAAGAGCUCGUAGGUUGUUUGUCGCGUUGUUCGUGAAAUCCCGUGGCUUAACUGCGGGCGUGCGGGCGAUACGGGCAGACUGGAGUACUGCAGGGGAGACUGGAAUUCCUGGUGUAGCGGUGGAAUGCGCAGAUAUCAGGAGGAACACCGGUGGCGAAGGCGGGUCUCUGGGCAGUAACUGACGCUGAGGAGCGAAAGCGUGGGGAGCGAACAGG